rnacentral:rRNA from 1 species
GGGUGCGAUCAUACCAGCACUAAUGCACCGGAUCCCAUCAGAACUCCGUAGUUAAGCGUGCUUGGGCGAGUGUAGUACUAGGAUGGGUGACCUCCUGGGAAGUCCUCGUGUUGCCCCCC